rnacentral:lncRNA from 1 species
AUAGCAUUAGGAGAUAUACCUAAUGUAAAUGAUGAGUUAAUGGGUGCAGCACACCAACAUGGCACAUGUAUACCUAUGUAACAAACCUGCACAUUGUGUACAUGUACCCUAGAACUUAAAGUAUAAUUAAAAAACAAAACAAAACAAAACAAAAACAAUGAGGUGCUAUUGUUUUAGUGGUGAGUAUCCGGAGACCUGGGAGUUCUAUUUACCAGGUAUAACCUGGGCUCAAAAUUCCAGGCUGACUUCAGGCAUGUCCUCAUCUCAUAGAUGCCAGCACUAAGGCCCAGAGAGGGCCGAGCUCAUUCAGCCCACCCAUCUUCUCACCCCUGACUGCAUUUCCCGGGGGUCCUUCUGCAGCCAGGUGCUGCUGUGGUACUUUGGGAUCUAUUGGCUGAGCUCCCAGAGAAGGGUCAUGGAUUGGGCUAGUUUGGAACAAGUGAAGGGACUGAAGAUGGGCUCAGUAUGGGGCGAAGACCUUCAGGAAGGGUCUGCAGAGUGAGUAGGGGGGUUUUGACUAGGAAAAGUUCCAACCCUGCCGGGGCCGCUGUCAAGAGAAAAGCAUCUAUUACAGUUACAUUUUUAAGUUAAGUAGACUGAAGAAUAUUUCUUGUGUAUUAAAGACGUUCCUUUUUGGUUGAUUUGCAAUGGAAAAGCUUUUGUUUUCUUUUUUUUUUUGGAAACAGGGUCUCACUCUGCUCACUCUGUCUCCCAAGCUGGAGUGCAGUGGUACAGUCACGGCUCACUGCAGCCUCCACUUCCUGGACUCAAGUGAUCUUCUCACUUCAGCCUUCUGAGUAGCUGGGACUACAGCCCCCUCUGCAGCUCUUCAUGGGGGUCCACUCAAGUCAGAAGCCACAUUUGGGUGUGAUUCAGAGAGCUGUUUAUGCAAAACCAGCUUUGUCACCAUCAGGCAAGGCACCUGAAUUCCCACCGCAGAGAGUGUUGUGGCCGUGAGGACUUUUCUGUCACCAGCCAUUUCCAGGUAGACCCAGUGUAAUCACAAGCAUCCUUGUAAGUGGCAAAGAGGCAGAGGAGACAGCGCCAGAGAGGCAGCUGCAUGAGAAGGAUCAAGAUGUUGCUGACUUUGAAGUUGGAAGAAGAAGGCCAUGAGCCUCAGUAUGUGGGCGGCUUCUAGAAGCUGGAAGGGGCAAGGAGAUGGAUUUGACCCUUCAGCCUCCAGGGGCAGCUGUACCUGCCAUCACUGAUUGUAGCCUGGUGAGGCCUGUUUUAGACUUCUGACCUGUAGAGCUGUAACAUAAUACAUUUGGGUUGUUUUCAACCACUAAGUUUGUGGUAAUUUGUUGUAGCAGCUGUAGAAAAUGAAUACAUAUGAAUCCUCUGGCAUUUGUUUGAGAUUUGCUCUAUGGCCUAGUAUGUGGUUGUAAAUGUUCCAUCUGUGCCUGAAAAAAUGUAUAUUUCUAAUUCAGUAGUCUCUGCUUUUUUUUUUUAUUUUGUACCCCAUCAAUAAAAUGAUUUUCAGCAUGUAUCCCCAAAUAAACAA